rnacentral:hammerhead_ribozyme from 1 species
GCACUGCUGAGGAGUCCCACAAUAGGGUGAAACGGCUGUCUAGUGC